rnacentral:rRNA from 1 species
CUCAGUAACACGUGGCUAAUCUGCCCUUGGGACCGGAACAACCCCGGGAAACUGGGGCUAACUCUCGAUAGGCGAAGAACUCUGGAAUGAGUCUUCACCCAAACAGUUUAAGGUUAUGCUCUUUAAACUGCCCAAGGAUGGGGCCGCGACCGAUCAGGUUGUUGGUGAGGUAAUGGCUCACCAAGCCUUUUACCGGUGCGGGCCGUGAGAGCGGGAGCCCGGAGAUGGGCACUGAGACAAGGGCCCAGGCCCUACGGGGCGCAGCAGUCGCGAAAACUUUGCAAUAAGCGAAAGCUUGACAGGGCUAUCCCGAGUGCCAUCCGCUGAGGAAGGCUUUUACCCAGUCUAGAACGCUGGGGGAAUAAGGAGAGGGCAAGUCUGGUGUCAGCCGCCGCGGUAAUACCAGCUCUCCGAGUGGUGUGGAUGUUUAUUGGGCCUAAAGCAUCCGUAGCUGGCUAGGUUAGUCCCCUGUUAAAUCCACCGAAUUAAUCGUUGGAUUGCGGGGGAUACUGCUUGGCUAGGGGACGAGAGAGGCAGACGGUAUUUCCGGGGUAGGGGUGAAAUCCUAUAAUCCCGGGAAGACCACCAGUGGCGAAGGCUGUCUGCUAGAACGCGCCCGACGGUGAGGGAUGAAAGCUGGGGGAGCGAACCGGAUUAGAUACCCGGGUAGUCCCAGCUGUAAACGAUGCAGACUAGGUGUUUGAACGGCCACGUGCCGUUCUAGUGCCGCAGGGAAGCUGUUAAGUCUGCCGCCUGGGGAGUACGAUCGCAAGAUUGAAACUUAAAGGAAUUGGCGGGGG